rnacentral:rRNA from 1 species
GUGGGGAAUCUUGCGCAAUGGGCGAAAGCCUGACGCAGCCAUGUCGCGUGAAUGAUGAAGGUCUUAGGAUUGUAAAAUUCUUUCACCGGGGACGAUAAUGACGGUACCCGGAGAAGAAGCCCCGGCUAACUUCGUGCCAGCAGCCGCGGUAAUACGAAGGGGGCUAGCGUUGCUCGGAAUUACUGGGCGUAAAGGGCGCGUAGGCGGAUCGUUAAGUCAGGGGUGAAAUCCCAGAGCUCAACUCUGGAACUGCCCUUGAUACUGGCGAUCUUGAGUGUGAGAGAGGUAUGUGGAACUCCGGGUGUAGAGGUGAAAUUCGUAGAUAUUCGGAAGAACACCAGUGGCGAAGGCGACAUACUGGCUCAUUACUGACGCUGAGGCGCGAAAGCGUGGGGAGCAAACAGGAUUAGAAACCCGGGUAGUCC